GGCCAUAUCAUGCUGAAACACCAGUUCAUGUAUGAUCACUGAAGUUAAGCAACAUCAAGACAGUUCAGUAUCUAGAUGGGUGACCACUUGGAAAUACUAGGUGCUGUAAU